GUGGGGAAUCUUCCGCAAUGGACGAAAGUCUGACGGAGCGACGCCGCGUGAGUGAUGAAGGCCUUCGGGUCGUAAAGCUCUGUCAUCGGGGACGAACGGCCUCAGCAGGUAAUGGCUGGGGAUUGACGGUACCCGAGAAGGAAGCCACGGCUAACUACGUGCCAGCAGCCGCGGUAAUACGUAGGUGGCAAGCGUUGUCCGGAAUUAUUGGGCGUAAAGCGCGCGCAGGUGGGAUCUUAAGUCCAUUUUGAAAGUUCGGAGCUCAACUCCGUGAUGGGAUGGAAACUGGGAUUCUUGAGUACCGGAGAGGAAAGCGGAAUUCCCCGUGUAGCGGUGAAAUGCGUAGAUAUGGGGAGGAACACCAGUGGCGAAGGCGGCUUUCUGGACGGUGUCUGACACUGAGGCGCGAAAGCCAGGGGAGCGAACGGGAUUAGAAACCCGAGUAGUCC
rnacentral:rRNA from 1 species